rnacentral:lncRNA from 1 species
CCUCGACCGAGCCUUCAUCCCUCGUGAUUUUUCCAACCAGAAGCUUAUUGUGGCCCUCCUCAUCCUCUCUCGAAAAAUCUCCAUCCAGCUAGCCUUUCUAAGCUCAUCGUCAUCCUCUUUGACUAGCUCAUUCAUAAUCCAAUCCUCAUCCUCUCUCUGACUCUGCUCUACUUCAACCAAACCAACAUACUCCUGCAAAGAAUCAGAACCCUAAUCAAAGACUGCUCCAACGAUAGUGAGAUAUAGCUGCUUGCAC